GAUGAACGCUAGCGGCAGGCCUAACACAUGCCAGUCGAGGGGUAGAAGGAGCUUGCUCCUUUGAGACCGGCGCACGGGUGCGUAACGCGUAUGCAAUCUACCUUGUACAGGGGAAUAGCCCAGAGAAAUUUGGAUUAAUGCCCCAUAGUAUAUAACCUUCGCAUGUUGGUUAUAUUAAAGUUCCAACGGUACAAGAUGAGCAUGCGUCCCAUUAGUUAGUUGGUAAGGUAACGGCUUACCAAGACGAUGAUGGGUAGGGGUCCUGAGAGGGAGAUCCCCCACACUGGUACUGGGACACGGACCAGACUCCUACGGGAGGCAGCAGUGAGGAAGAUUGGUCAAUGGUCGCAAGACUGAACCAGCCAUGCCGCGUGCAGGAAGACGGUCCUAUGGAUUGUAAACUGCUUUUAUACAGGAAGAAACCCUCCCACGUGUGGGAGCUUGACGGUACUGUAGGAAUAAGGAUCGGCUAACUCCGUG
rnacentral:rRNA from 1 species